rnacentral:rRNA from 1 species
CCUACGGGAGGCUGCAGUGAGGAAUAUUGGUCAAUGGACGCAAGUCUGAACCAGCCAUGCCGCGUGCAGGAUGACGGCUCUAUGAGUUGUAAACUUCUUUUGUACAGGGGUAAAACGCGACACGUGUGCCUUUUUGCAAGUACUUUAUGAAUAAGGAUCGGCUAACUCCGUGCCAGCAGCCGCGGUAAUACGGAGGAUCCGAGCGUUAUCCGGAUUUAUUGGGUUUAAAGGGAGCGUAGGUGGGUUGUUAAGUUAGUUGUGAAAUUUUGCGGCUCAACCCCGAAAUUGCAUUUGAUACUGGUGGUCUGGAGUACAGUUGAGGUAGGCGGAAUGUGUGGUGUAGCGGUGAAAUGCUUAGAGAUCACGCAGAACCCCGAUUGCGAAGGCAGCUUACUAAACUGUAUCUGACGUUGAGGCACGAAAGCGUGGGUAGCAAACAGGAUUAGAUACCCGAGUAGUC